CAAUCAAAUGUCUGUGUCAACUGUUCAGGUUGCAGGACAGAGUGAUGAUGAGGUGCAAGAACUGGGGCAAGAUGAUGCACAAAAUGAGGGACAAGAAGAGCCCGUAGUUGUGGAUGCUGAUUCUACUGACAGUGCGGUACUCAUUAAUGAAACUGAGGCAGAAGAAGAGUGGGGUACGAAUACUGAAGGAAAACCGUCAGCCUAAAAGCAAUUGGUUGGGCCGGUGUGAAAAUCCUAGUUUUGUUGCUGUGCUUACACCACGCCACUAGGCUCAUUCAAGACAGUUCCAUCUGUUCAAUAGGUGUUUCCUUUAAAGGGGGCGAUCAACAGACUGGGCAUGUCUGUUCUGCAAGUGGUGUGAUUUUGUAGCCAUGAGUUUUGUAGGCAUACUGGACAUAUGUUUCCAGCUUCGUUGUUAGCUUUAGUCACUCAUAGUUGCUUUAUCAUAUUCUUUUGACGCGUACGUUUUUCACCCUUCAAUAUCUUCAUUUGUCAUUGUCCACUGUAGAAACACUGUAAGCCAUAUAUGGAAGUGGAGGUAAUGCAGAUGUGUGCUCAAAAACUGCAAUCUGAAGAAAUGAAAAUGAUAAUCAGGAUAUUUUGUUUGCUGCAUUACUGUGGAACGAUGGAAAGAAAGAAGAAACAUUACAAGGAUACGAAAGACU